rnacentral:rRNA from 1 species
AGUGAACGCUGGCGGUAGGCCUAACACAUGCAAGUCGAACGGCAGCACAGUAAGAGCUUGCUCUUACGGGUGGCGAGUGGCGGACGGGUGAGGAAUACAUCGGACUCUACUUUUUCGUGGGGGAUAACGUAGGGAAACUUACGCUAAUACCGCAUACGCCCUACGGGUGAAAGCAUGGGAUCUUCGGACCUUGCGCGAUUGAAUGAGCCGAUGUCGGAUUAGCUAGUUGGCGGGGUAAAGGCCCACCAAGGCGACGAUCCGUAGCUGUUCUGAGAGGAUGAUAAGCCACACUGGAACUGAGACACGGUCCAGACGCCUACGGGAGGCAGCAGUGGGGAAUAUUGGACAAUGGGCGCAAGCCUGAUCCAGCCAGACCGCGUGGGUGAAGAAGGCCUUCGGGUUGUAAAGCCCUUUUGUUGGGAAAGAAAAGCAGCAGGUUAAUACCCAGCUGUUCUGACGGUACCCAAAGAAUAAGCACCGGCUAACUUCGUG